rnacentral:rRNA from 1 species
GAUGAACGCUGGCGGCAUGCCUAAUACAUGCAAGUCGAACGAUAGGAAGGAAAGCUUGCUUUUCUGAAUCUAGUGGCGAACGGGUGAGUAACACGUAGGUAACCUGCCCAUGUGCCCGGGAUAACUUCUGGAAACGGAUGCUAAAACCGGAUAGGUAGCAGACAAGCAUUUGACUGCUAUUAAAGUGGCUAAGGCCAUGAACAUGGAUGGACCUGCGGUGCAUUAGCUAGUUGGUGAGGUAACGGCCCACCAAGGCGACGAUGCAUAGCCGGCCUGAGAGGGCGGACGGCCACAUUGGGACUGAGACACGGCCCAAACUCCUACGGGAGGCAGCAGUAGGGAAUUUUCGUCAAUGGGGGGAACCCUGAACGAGCAAUGCUGCGUGAGUGAGGAAGGUCUUCGGAUCGUAAAGCUCUGUUGUAAGAGAAAAACGACAUUCAUAGGGAAUGAUGAGUGAGUGAUGGUAUCUUACCAGAAAGUCACGGCUAACUACGUGCCAGCAGCCGCCGUAA